AAGCAACAUAAGCUUAAUUAAAAACAAGGCUAAAUUACAUAAAACCCUCGUGUCAAAACCGAAUUUUUCACUUUCCCCCCUUUGUCAUUUAAAAACCUACACUUUGCCCCCUUGUAAAAUGAGAAAUGUUCACUUCGCCUCCAACCGUUAGUAAUCCGUUAGGGUUUCGUUUAUAGAAUAUUAUUAUAUAUUUUUUUAUGCCAAAAAUACCCUCAACUUUCUCUCUUGUGAAUAUGGUGAGGGGCAAAAUUGUCAUUUUAUCAUCGCAGUUCACACCGUAUCCCUGUGAACAUUUUUCAUUUACAAGGGGGGAAAGUGAAAAAUUAGAUUUUGACCGGAGGGUUUUCUGUAAUUUAGCCUAAAAACAAACUAUAAAGUAAUUGAAAUUAAAAGACGUAUUUUGCUCUAAAG
rnacentral:lncRNA from 1 species